rnacentral:lncRNA from 1 species
AAAGAGCUAAUUAGUUGCUGGGAAUUUUAGAAGUAUUCUCUCUUUCAUCUCUACAAACACUCUCUACAAAUACUUCUUCUCUAAAACCUCUUUUCUUAUACAUAUAUAUUUAUAUAUACAAGGUUUUAGUUAUAUAAGCUUAGUUCAACCAACCAAGCUCUCUCCCAACCCAACUAGCUCAACCACUACUACUUUAGGCCUCCCGUAGGGCUGCCCAAGUUCCGCCACUAAGCCAAAAUCCGGCCGAACCUCCGGCGAAUUUUUCCCGUGAACUUUCCGAUCGUUUUUGUAAGUGGUUAUUAUUUUUAGCUUCGAUUCGAGUCUUAACCGACCAUUAUAUAUACAAGAGCUUGUUAUUAUUCUUGAUCUAUCCAUCUUAAAGCUCUUCAUCUUAAAUCUCUUAGAAAAGAGAUUUAUUAUUUCGAAUUAAUUUCAAACACGAACUAACAAGUCGUGUUAUUCGAAAUAUAAAUAUAUAUACACGAACUAAAGAUUCGUUGUAUAUUCACACGAACUAAGAUUCGUUAUAUUUGAGUUAUAUUACAUAAGAACAAAGAUUAUAUCAUUCGAAAUAUUCAAACUCAAAUAUAUAUAUAGAUAUAUAAACACA